UGGCUCAGGACGAACGCUGGCGGCGUGCCUAAUACAUGCAAGUAGAACGCUGAAGAGAGGAGCUUGCUCUUCUUGGAUGAGUUGCGAACGGGUGAGUAACGCGUAGGUAACCUGCCUUGUAGCGGGGGAUAACUAUUGGAAACGAUAGCUAAUACCGCAUAACAAUGGAUGACACAUGUCAUUUAUUUGAAAGGGGCAAUUGCUCCACUACAAGAUGGACCUGCGUUGUAUUAGCUAGUAGGUGAGGUAACGGCUCACCUAGGCGACGAUACAUAGCCGACCUGAGAGGGUGAUCGGCCACACUGGGACUGAGACACGGCCCAGACUCCUACGGGAGGCAGCAGUAGGGAAUCUUCGGCAAUGGGGGCAACCCUGACCGAGCAACGCCGCGUGAGUGAAGAAGGUUUUCGGAUCGUAAAGCUCUGUUGUAAGUCAAGAACGAGUGUGAGAGUGGAAAGUUCACACUGUGACGGUAGCUUACCAGAAAGGGACGGCUAACUACGUGCCAGCAGCCGCGGUAAUACGUAGGUCCCGAGCGUUGUCCGGAUUUAUUGGGCGUAAAGCGAGCGCAGGCGGUUUGAUAAGUCUGAAGUUAAAGGCUGUGGCUCAACCAUAGUUCGCUUUGGAAACUGUCAAACUUGAGUGCAGAAGGGGAGAGUGGAAUUCCAUGUGUAGCGGUGAAAUGCGUAGAUAUAUGGAGGAACACCGGUGGCGAAAGCGGCUCUCUGGUCUGUAACUGACGCUGAGGCUCGAAAGCGUGGGGAGCGAACAGGAUUAGAUACCCUGGUAGUCCACGCCGUAAACGAUGAGUGCUAGGUGUUGGAUCCUUUCCGGGAUUCAGUGCCGCAGCUAACGCAUUAAGCACUCCGCCUGGGGAGUACGACCGCAAGGUUGAAACUCAAAGGAAUUGACGGGGGCCCGCACAAGCGGUGGAGCAUGUGGUUUAAUUCGAAGCAACGCGAAGAACCUUACCAGGUCUUGACAUCCCGAUGCUAUUUCUAGAGAUAGAAAGUUACUUCGGUACAUCGGUGACAGGUGGUGCAUGGUUGUCGUCAGCUCGUGUCGUGAGAUGUUGGGUUAAGUCCCGCAACGAGCGCAACCCCUAUUGUUAGUUGCCAUCAUUCAGUUGGGCACUCUAGCGAGACUGCCGGUAAUAAACCGGAGGAAGGUGGGGAUGACGUCAAAUCAUCAUGCCCCUUAUGACCUGGGCUACACACGUGCUACAAUGGUUGGUACAACGAGUUGCGAGUCGGUGACGGCAAGCUAAUCUCUUAAAGCCAAUCUCAGUUCGGAUUGUAGGCUGCAACUCGCCUACAUGAAGUCGGAAUCGCUAGUAAUCGCGGAUCAGCACGCCGCGGUGAAUACGUUCCCGGGCCUUGUACACACCGCCCGUCACACCACGAGAGUUUGUAACACCCGAAGUCGGUGAGGUAACCUUUUGGAGCCAGCCGCCUAAGGUGGGAUAGAUGAUUGGGGUGAAG
rnacentral:rRNA from 1 species